UACGUAGGGGGGCUCGCGUUGUCCGGAUUUAUUGGGCGUAAAGAGCGUGUAGGCGGCCAGAUAGGUCUGGUGUGAAAACUCGAGGCUUAACCUCGAGAUGUCAUCGGAAACCAUCUGGCUAGAGUCCGGAAGAGGAGAGUGGAAUUCCUGGUGUAGCGGUGAAAUGCGCAGAUAUCAGGAAGCACACCAAUGGCGAAAGCAGCUCUCUGGGACGGUACUGACGCUGAGACGCGAAAGCGUGGGGAGCGAACAGG
rnacentral:rRNA from 1 species